rnacentral:rRNA from 1 species
GACGAACGCUGGCGGCGUGCCUAAUACAUGCAAGUAGGACGCAGUUGCGAACGGGUGAGUAACGCGUAGGUAACUACCUAUUAGAGGGGGAUAACUAUUGGAAACGAUAGCUAAUACCGCAUACUAGUAGAUGGACCUGCGUUGUAUUAGCUAGUAGGUAGGGUAAUGGCCUACCUAGGCAACGAUACAUAGCCGAGCUGGGGGGGGGGUCGGGCAAACUUGGAACGGGACACGGGCCAGACCCCUUCGGGAGGCCAGAGGAGGGGAUCAUCGGAAAUUGGGGGAACGCUGGACAAGCAAAGGCGGGGGAGUGGAGAAGGGUUUCGGGUCGUAAAGCUCUGUUGUUAAGGGAGCGGUACUUAACCAGAAAGGAACGGCUAACUACGUGCCAGCAGCCGCGGUAAUUC